GUCCCCGUAGUUCAAUGGAUAGAACAUGCCCGUCCUAAGGGCCAAAUGACAGUUCGAUUCUGUCCGGGGGCA
rnacentral:tRNA from 1 species